rnacentral:lncRNA from 1 species
GUUCCAGUAUAAAAAUAUUAACAUAGUCAUUAUACUUAUUUAGAAGCUAGAUUAUAAGAACUAACACGAAGUAGCUAAACGGCAAUGACAUCUAUUAUGGACCCUUAAAUGUGAUGUUCAAGUGUUAAACAAAUUGCAGUUUUCAAAAUCUUUCCUCCACAAACAAAUAUUACACGUUUGAAAAGACAAAUUGAUUUCAGCUCUACCUAUUCUAAUAUACCAAAAACAGUGAUUGAGAACUUAUUUUAGGCUAAUAUGAUGUUUCAAUGUUUCAGAAACCAGUUUAAAAAAAUAAAGUUUAAGCUGAUG